AUUGAGUCCCAGAACAGGUUCUUGCCAUACUGGCAUUACUUGUAUUUGUGGGCUUGCAUGAUGCGUAAACAUAAGUUGGCGGAAAUACUCUUGCGAAAAGUGGAGAAUCCGAUCGCCAUGGCUCUGAUAACAUAUAAUUUGUUGAAGGCUGUGGAACGACAAACGGACGACAAAGUGCUAAAGACUGAAAUUCAGAAAUACAUUAAAAAAUCAUCUGCUAUGGCGACGGGUAUUCUAAACGAAUGUGCCCAGAGUGAUGACACAAACACGAAUCAGAUAUUAACGCUAGAGAUACCAGUUUGGCAGAAGACAUGCAUAGAAUUGGCUAUAAAAUCAAAACACAUGGAUUUCCUUGACCAGCUAGCAGUCCGCAAUCUGUUUGGAUCUGUUUGGAAUGGAAAACUCGAGGAUACAACU